AGUGAACGCUGGCGGUAGGCCUAACACAUGCAAGUCGAACGGCAGCACAGGAGAGCUUGCUCUCUGGGUGGCGAGUGGCGGACGGGUGAGGAAUACAUCGGAAUCUACUCUGUCGUGGGGGAUAACGUAGGGAAACUUACGCUAAUACCGCAUACGACCUACGGGUGAAAGCAGGGGACCUUCGGGCCUUGCGCGAUUGAAUGAGCCGAUGUCGGAUUAGCUAGUUGGCGGGGUAAAGGCCCACCAAGGCGACGAUCCGUAGCUGGUCUGAGAGGAUGAUCAGCCACACUGGAACUGAGACACGGUCCCGACUCAUACGGGAGGCAGCAGUGGGGAAUAUUGGACAAUGGGCGCAAGCCUGAUCCAGCCAUACCGCGUGGGUGAAGAAGGCCUUCGGGUUGUAAAGCCCUUUUGUUGGGAAAGAAAUCCAGCUGGCUAAUACCCGGUUGGGAUGACGGUACCCAAAGAAUAAGCACCGGCUAACUUCGUGCCAGCAGCCGCCGUAA
rnacentral:rRNA from 1 species